CGGGAUCCUGCCUGGUGUGGCUGUGCGCUGGAGGCGGAGGGCAGGGAAGCGCAGGCCGGCGCGGCCUCGUGACCAGCCCAGGAAGGGUAGCAAAGAAGACUCCAGCAGUCUGGAGGCAGAACACAGUGACGUGGCUGUGAGGAGCCAAAGCAAGUCACCUCCUCGGACAUGCCAUGCAGAUCUGGACUCUGUUUCAUCCCCUGGGCCCCAUCCUCUCUCCUGGGUCCUCUCCUGAUUCCAGCUCCUGCAGUGCUGCCAGCCAAGUUCCACCGACAGCCCUUUCUGGGCCAGCUACUCAUGGGAUCAGGAUGUGCAGUCCAGGCCUGGCAGUGCCGGAUGGGGCCCUUUCACCAUGACACCAGGACCUGCAGUGUUCCCUACCCUCAUGGCCGCUUGCCAGGGGAGCUGAUUCAUCCUCACAAAUCCACAGCAGCACCUCAUAGUAUUUCCCCUGUGCACAGAAAGCACAAGGCUGGUCUGGUACUUCCUGUCCUUCAUAGUUCAGCUCCAUUUCACCUUCUCUUUGGCUUCUUGGACUCCUCCCACAUUGAAACUCAGCCAUGUCUAUUGUUAGGAUCAC